UAGGAAUUCUGUGAACAAAUCACUGGAGGC
rnacentral:piRNA from 1 species